UACGUAGGGUGCAAGCGUUGUCCGGAAUUAUUGGGCGUAAAGAGCUCGUAGGCGGCUUGUCGCGUCGGCUGUGAAAACCUGGGGCUCAACCCCGGGCCUGCAGCCGAUACGGGCAAGCUAGAAUUCAGUAGGGGAGACUGGAAUUCCUGGUGUAGCGGUGAAAUGCGCAGAUAUCAGGAGGAACACCGGUGGCGAAGGCGGGUCUCUGGGCCGAUAUUGACGCUGAGGAGCGAAAGCGUGGGGAGCGAACAGG
rnacentral:rRNA from 1 species